rnacentral:rRNA from 1 species
CGGAGGGUGCAAGCGUUAUCCGGAUUUACUGGGUUUAAAGGGUGCGUAGGCUGUCAGAUAAGUCAGUGGUGAAAGGCUGUGGCUUAACCAUGGGAAUGCCAUUGAUACUGUCUGACUUGAAUGAAGAAGAGGAUAGCGGAAUGUGACAUGUAGCGGUGAAAUGCUUAGAUAUGUCAUAGAACACCAAUUGCGAAGGCAGCUAUCUGGACUUGUAUUGACGCUGAGGCACGAAAGCGUGGGGAGCGAACAGGAUUAGAUACCCUGGUAGUCCACGCCCUAAACGAUGCUUACUCGUUGUCUGGAAGAAAUUUUGGGCGACUAAGCGAAAGCGAUAAGUAAGCCACCUGGGGAGUACGACCGCAAGGUUG